AGAGUUUGAUCCUGGCUCAGGACGAACGCUGGCGGCGGGCUUAAUACAUGCAAGUCGAACGAGAAGCUCCGGGCUUGCCUGGAGUGGAAAGUGGCGCACGGGUGAGUAACACGUAGGCAACCUGCCCCUGAGAGUGGAAUAACUACGGGAAACUGUAGCUAAUACCGCAUAAUGUCCAAGCAAUGCAUGUUGCUUGGAUCAAAUGCUCCGGCGCUCAGGGAUGGGCCUGCGGCAGAUUAGCUUGUUGGUAGGGUAACGGCCUACCAAGGCUACGAUCUGUAGCUGGUCUGAGAGGAUGAUCAGCCACACUGGCACUGAGACACGGGCCAGACUCCUACGGGAGGCAGCAGUAAGGAAUAUUGCGCAAUGGGCGAAAGCCUGACGCAGCCACGCCGCGUGGAGGAAGACACCCCUAUGGGGCGUAAACUCCUUUUAUAUGAGAAGAAGGUCCCGGUCGCCGGGAUUUGACGGUACCAUAUGAAUAAGCACCGGCUAACUCCGUGCCAGCAGCCGCGGUAAUACGGAGGGUGCAAGCGUUGUCCGGAUUCACUGGGUGUAAAGGGUGUGUAGGUGGAAUUUCAAGUCAGUGGUGAAAUCCUGCGGCUUAACCGUAGAACUGCCAUUGAUACU
rnacentral:rRNA from 1 species